UACGUAGGGGCCUAGCGUUGUCCGGAAUCAUUGGGCGUAAAGAGCUCGUAGGCGGUUCGGCAAGUCACGUGUGAAAUCUCCACGCUUAACGUGGAGGCGCCACGUGAAACUGCCGUGACUCGAGUCCGGUAGGGGAGUGUGGAAUUCCCGGUGUAGCGGUGAAAUGCGCAGAUAUCGGGAGGAACACCAGUGGCGAAGGCGGUUGCCUGGGGCUUUGCUGACGCUGAUGCGCGAAAGCGUGGGGAGCGAUCCGG
rnacentral:rRNA from 1 species